ACGGAGGGGGCUAGCGUUGUUCGGAAUCAUUGGGCGUAAAGGGCGCGUAGGCGGCCGAUCAAGUCGGAGGUGAAAUCCCUCGGCUCAACUGAGGAAUUGCCUUCGAUACUGUUCGGCUUGAGUCCUGGAGAGGGUAGCGGAAUUCCCGGUGUAGCGGUGAAAUGCGUAGAGACCGGGAAGAACAUCAGUGGCGAAGGCGGCUACCUGGACAGGUACUGACGCUGAAGCGCGAAAGCUAGGGGAGCAAACAGGAUUAGAUACCCUGGUAGUCCUAGCUGUAAACGAUGGGCACUUGGUGUUGCGGGUAUCGACCCCUGCAGUGCCGAAGCUAACGCAUUAAGUGCCCCGCCUGGGGAGUACGGUCGCAAGGCUG
rnacentral:rRNA from 1 species